AGCUCAAGUCUCCCCAUUUUUCCCUCAGGCGCGUCCAACACUUCUCUUAACAAAGCCGACCAAAUGCGUCUCCCCGACCCGGCAUACUCAAAGGGCACCGAGGAGUGGCUGGUUAUGCCUCCCCAGGGAGCCCCAAAGCGAGGCCGGCCUAGCCAGCUCUUUCCCUCCGCCGACCGGAGCGGGUGGAAGAAAAGAACGGAUCCCAGACACAAUGGAGAGCAAGCGGGGGCACUCACCCACAGCUCCGUGCCCCAGCUCAUGGCGACUCCGCUGGCAGCGCACAGCUCCGCCGCCGGCGCUCCUUUGUGGUUUUUCUCGUCAGUCCCCCCGCGGCUUUGGCGGCUGCUGCUGGAGUCCGCGCCGACGGCCAGCACCGACACACCACCCCUUUUAGCCUCCCUCUCUCAGCAGAAACAGUGGGGCGCUGGACGCUGCCUCGCUUUCGGCGCCGGAGAGACGGGCGGAGUGGGGGUGGCGGCGGCGACGGCAGGACCAACAACCGAAGCGGCAGCUCCGCCUUGCUUGGGGAUAGGGUUCGGGAAAGGAAGGAGGAGGAAGGGGGGCAGCCGCGGUGGAGGCUGGGAGAGGGGCGGGUUCGGCCACCGCAGCCGCUCCUUAGGGAGGCCCCGGGACGGGACGUGAACCGAGGUGACUCCUUCGGAGAGGCUCAGUGGCACAUUUCCUGUUCCCACCGGGGAGACUCGCCCUUGCCGGCCUGCUCUACACGCAAGCACCGGAACGGAGAGGAGGGCCUUUUUGAGGAGGACCACCCACUUGUGUGACACUGAUGCCACGCUGUUGUAUUUCAAGCCAUCCCUCAGACUACUCAUCGAAUGCAUGGAAUGAUUUGUUUCAUGUGACUGAAAGUGGAAAAUAGUGAAUUAAAACCUCAAGUACAACUAUUCAUGAGAAUGUGACCUCAGUAUGUACAUUUCAGAAAUUAAAUUCCAUAGACGCCUAAUUCAAGGAAUGAGGACUGUUUAUAAUGAUGUGUGAAUAGAAGACUACUCCAGUCUGGUGUUUUAUUGCAGAUAUAUUCUGCAACAUGUUCUUGACUCAAUAAUAGUGCACUAGUGGUGAAUUUAUUCUGCUUUAUUAGUUCUGUGAUGCUUCCCCAAUGCUAUCGCAUUAUUGCUGCCUGCAGGGGCUAUAUAAAGCAUGUGGGACAGCAGCGCCCCCCCCACCAAAAAAAAAUUGUAUGAAAACUUACAGAAUUUCAGCAGGAAGUUACAGGAUAUGCACUGUCCCAAAACUUUUGCCGGCACAAAUGGUAUUGAAAUAGGGAUCACAUAUGCCCACCCUGAUAGCAUCAUGAGCACAAAUCAUCAUGAAUGUGCAAUAAAAAGAAUGUCUGGAGGGGCCCUCAGAAAACACAGAGCAAGGUGCCAGUUGUAAUGUAUGGGAGGGUUGAUUGUUUAACUUCAUUCUUAGACAAAUCUCUGGUGUGAGAGGGGAGAAAACAUAGUUGGCAAACUAAACAAAUGAGGGAGAGCCACUUAGAAGGAACAGAUCUGGAUAUGUCCGCACCUCAAACCUGCAGAAAUAUAAAAUACAAGGAAUUUUAUUUCUUGCCUUCUGAAAAGCGCAACUCCUAUUCUGCUAUAAAUUCAUUGUGUCCCAAAUAUUAUUAUUAUUUAUAACAUUUCUAGCCCACCUCCAAGAAAUUGAGUGCCAUUCAUGGUUCUUCCAUCCUCCCGUUCUGCAUUCUAUUUGCGCAAGCAUCCUGUAAGGUUAGGGUAAGAAAUAGCAACUGACCCAAGGUCGCCAAUGAGCUUCAUGGCUGAGUGGGGAUUUGAACCCAUCCCCCAAGUUUUAGAAAUUGGUCUUUAGAGACUAGUCUUGAGAAUGGCAUUAGUCAUUGAUAUUUAUGGGCUAUGUUCUCAAUUUAUUUAUACUUUUGGCCAGUUGGAAGACACCUGUGCGUGAAUUUGUUUUAUGUGGGGAGAUCGGCGCACAACUAUCAACACACAGUCUUGACAGAAAAAGACUUUGAUCCAAUGGCAUGGAUACCACGAAGACUGGCAAUCUUUUAUCUGCUGCAUGUUACCUGUAAUAAUUUAUUUUGGUAUCAAUUAUUUUUAUACCACUCUUGGAUACUCUUAAAUCCUGUCACAAACUCUUAUUCCCAAAUUAUCUAAUGUGGUACACACUGGGGAAAUUGUAACAUCUGAUACAAAAGUAAGUAAAACAAAACUGGCAUUGUACUAGCCACACAGGCACAGUUAGCAUUCCUAGAUGUAUUGCUCUUAAACACGGGAAAUGCAAACCAAGGAAAAAUAGCUUUAACAGUUAGUGGAAAUUCUUUGCAUUCUUCUUCAGGCAUCAAUUCAAAAUACUAAGUAGGAUGGAUUGUCUUGAAUAGGUGAGUUAAUAGGCUCUUCCACGUUCCUGAAACAAAAAAAGAACGGUGUAGUAGGGAGACUCUGAUGAGACAGUUAGAAAAUGUAGUAAUUAUAAACCAUGUGCAUAGACUGCUAAUUAAGUAGAAUUUGCUUAAAUGCUAUAUCUUAAAAUAGUCACCCGACAUUGACUUAAAAUAUAGUGGAACGUAUCCCUAGGCUCUUGAGACUUUCUGAAUAGAGGUGGGACACUUCUAGCCUCCAGAAAGUUGAGAUACCAGAUGAUAAUAUGCACAUUUGAUAGGGUAGGCAACACGUAUGACUAAAUUUUUAUAAAGAAACUAUUUGGGUUUUAUCCAAUGUUAGUCUUACUUGGAGUAGACCCACUGAAAAUAAUGAACAUGACUAACUUAGGUCCAUUAAUUUCAUUCGGUCUGCUCUGAGUAUAACUUGGUUGGAUCCAACCCUUUAACAGCAACAAUCAUUCUAAACUGCACAGGAGUGCCACCAGAAAGACAUCUUGGAGGGGGAGGGCACAGAAAAGGCAAAGUGCAUUUCUGGAGGAGCAGAUUUUGUCUCCCAUGUUAGAUUUCUGAAAGAGAAAGAACAUAUUUCAAAUUACUACUCUAUCCUAAAUAUAUUUUCUCUGAAGAAAGUCCUGUUGAUUUUUAUGGAGUUAACAUUCAAGCAGUAGUGUUAAUUCUGAAGUGCAGCCACUCCUCAUGAGAAUCCCCAUAGCCAUGCCCCUCCUAGGACUAUACAGCAAACCUGAUAUUUUCGGCCAGUGUAGACAUUACCAAGCCGACUUUUUUCUCACCACACUCCCCCACUUUGCUUAACAUCCAGCCUAAUGAAGAGUUCUGGUGGACUCCAAGCUUGUGGGCUGUUUUGAGAUAUUUUUGGUCAUAAUAAAGGGACUCUGGAAUUUUUCAAAGUAAAUGUGACAGUUUAACCCUUAGCUAUUCAUUCUAGUGUAACUUACCUCUUCCUCUGCUUAGCUUAUUUGCAUCUCAGGAGAAGACAUCAUAAUGACGAGGUACGCUGGUGCCGACAUUACUAUCUUUUCGGCACCAGGUUAAAACUUUCCUCUUUUCCCAGGCAUUUUAGUAUGUGUAAAAAUGUUUGUUUUUAAAUUUAAAUUUUAAGCUUUUAAAAAUUGUUUUAAAUAUGUGUUUCAUUGUAUUUUAUUGUAUUUUAUGUUGAUUGUUGUGAACCGCCCAGGGAGCUUCGGCUAUGGGCGGUAUAUAAAUUUAAUAAAAUGAAAAUGAAAUGAAA